rnacentral:ncRNA from 1 species
CCCUGACAGGUGCAUAAAGCGCCUGACACUAGCCUCGACAGGAGUAUCACAUG